rnacentral:rRNA from 1 species
GACAGAGGAUGCAAGCGUUAUCCGGAAUGAUUGGGCGUAAAGCGUCUGUAGGUGGCUUUUUAAGUCCGCCGUCAAAUCCCAGGGCUCAACCCUGGACAGGCGGUGGAAACUACCAAGCUGGAGUACGGUAGAGGCAGGCGGAAUUCCGGGUGUAGCGGUGGAAUGCGUAGAGAUCCGGAAGAACACCGGUGGCGAAGGCGGCCUGCUGGGCAGUGGCUGACACUGAGGCGCGACAGCGUGGGGAGCAAACAGG